GCCGAUGUGGCGGAACAGGGAGACGCGGCAGACUCAAAAUCUGCUCCUAGCAAUAGGGUGCUGGUUCGAUUCCAGUCAUCGGCA
rnacentral:tRNA from 8 species